rnacentral:tRNA from 1 species
UGCGGGGUCGUCCAAGGGAAAGACGCCCGGCUCUGGACCGGGAAAUCGGGGUUCGAAUCCCUGCCCCGCAG